CUAAAGAUGCUACUAGAAAACUACCAGCGCUAAUCAAUGGAUUUGAGAAACCCAUGAAGCACCAAGCACCAGGUGGAAAAAGCAAACUCAGCAGACAUCUUGAGUCCUAUUGCAGAAACUUUUCAUCUAUAGCAAACAAAGCCCAUGCGCCACAACUACUGAGCCUGCACUCUAGAGCCCAGGAGCCACAACUACUGAGCCCGUAUGCCUAGAGCAACAAGAGAAGCCACCGCAAUGAGAAGCCCGCCCACCACAAUGAAGAGUAGCUCCCGCCAGCCGCAACUAAAGAAAGCCUGUGCACAGCAACGAAGACCCAAUGGAGCCUAAAUAAAUAAAUAAAAUUUAAAAAAACUGUGAGAGCAGUGCCUGGCGCAGGGUCAAUACUCA